UACAUGCUGACGAGCGGCAGACGGGUGAGGAACACGUACGCAACUUUCCUCAAACCGGGGCACAACGCUUGAGAAAUCAGGGCUAAUUCCCCAUAACAUUGCGAGAGGGCAUCUGAUUGCAAUUAAAAAUUCGUCGGUUUGAGAUGGGCGUGCGUUCGAUUAGCUAGUUGGUAAGGUAACGGCCUACCAAGGCAACGAUCGAUAGCUGGUGUGAGAGCACGACCAGCCACACGGGCACUGAGACACGGGCCCGACUCCUACGGGAGGCAGCAGUAAGGAAUAUUGGUCAAUGGACGAAAGUCUGAACCAGCCAUGCCGCGUGAGGGAUGAAGGUCUCUUGGAUUGUAAACCUCUUUUAUCUAUGAAGAAAUGUCCUGUUUCUACGGGAUUUUGACGGUAAUAGAUGAAUAAAGCACCCGGCUUACUNCGUGCCAGCAGCCCGCGGUAAUACCGGANGGUGCAAGCGUUAUCCGGAAUUUACUGGGUUUAAA
rnacentral:rRNA from 1 species